rnacentral:rRNA from 1 species
AACGAACGCUGGCGGCAUGCCUAACACAUGCAAGUCGAACGCGUGGCUUCGGCCACGAGUGGCGCACGGGUGAGUAACGCGUGGGAACCUGCCCAUCGGUACGGAACAACCGCGGGAAACUGCGGCUGAUACCGUAUAUACCCUGCGGGGGAAAGAUUUAUCGCCGAUGGAGGGGCCCGCGUCGGAUUAGGUAGUUGGUGGGGUAACGGCCUACCAAGCCUGCGAUCCGUAGCUGGUCUGAGAGGAUGAUCAGCCACACUGGGACUGAGACACGGCCCAGACUCCUACGGGAGGCAGCAGUGGGGAAUAUUGGACAAGUGGGGGCAACCCUGAUCCAGCAAUGCC